rnacentral:rRNA from 1 species
AUUGAACGCUGGCGGCAUGCUUUACACAUGCAAGUCGAACGGUAACAGGCCGCUAGGUGCUGACGAGUGGCGAACGGGUGAGUAAUGCAUCGGAACGUGCCCAGUCGUGGGGGAUAACGCAGCGAAAGCUGUGCUAAUACCGCAUACGAUCUAUGGAUGAAAGCGGGGGACCGUAAGGCCUCGCGCGAUUGUAGCGGCCGAUGUCAGAUUAGGUAGUUGGUGGGGUAAAGGCUCACCAAGCCAACGAUCUGUAGCUGGUCUGAGAGGACGACCAGCCACACUGGGACUGAGACACGGCCCAGACUCCUACGGGAGGCAGCAGUGGGGAAUUUUGGACAAUGGGCGCAAGCCUGAUCCAGCAAUGCCGCGUGCAGGAAGAAGGCCUUCGGGUUGUAAACUGCUUUUGUACGGAACGAAAAGGUUUGGGUUAAUACCCUGGGCCGAUGACGGUACCGUAAGAAUAAGCACCGGCUAACUACGUGCCAGCCGCCGCAGUAA